UACCUUGAGGCAAAGCCCCAUUCAUCUGGCGUCAAUUACAGUUCUACUCAGCCUGGAGGGGACGCCUGACUUCCCACACCUGACUUUCCUCUCCGCUCCCCAAGACCCUAGAACCUUCCGUUAUCCUGUUACUGAGCAUUACGGCCAGGCUCUCUAUCUGACAGCACAAAGACAACACCCAAUGUCAAGAGGAGCACUGUGUGACCCAAGGUAUAAUGGGACUCCAGAAAGUGGCUGGCUUUCCCUGAAUUUCCCACUAGAGGAGGCGGGAUGCGCCCGCGGUGCUGGAAGCAUGCAUGCUGGGGUCCUCCUGGAGCCCUCCUCCUCCAGAGAAGUCCAAUACUCUCCAAAAACAGGGCACACAGACCCUGCAAGAUGAGCCCCCUACUUGGAGAGAGACUGAGCCACCCAAAGACCUUCAAGGACAGAACACGAGUUCACCAAUCAAUGAAUGCCGGGAGCAUCCUCAGACCCUCUGCAGCCCAUGCUGGUGUGAAUAUGGAGUCAGUUCUCUCUUGAAAAUGCAUUACUAGCGGCGGCGACAUCCAUGUUUGCAGAGGAAGAGAGGCCUUCCUUUUCCCAAGUGGACCCUACACUCCACUCAGGGGAAUCAAAACAGAGGAGGAUAGGGCUUUCUGCCUUCCUUCCCCAAGCUUUUCUUUCUGGGCGGUCGCAGGCUUUUGCCGAACCGUAGAGGCCAGGACCAUCCAAGGGCACAAGGGCUCGGUCUGUGGGGGAGUCUCCAGGUGCGGUUACACAGAGCGGGGGCCAGCACACCCACUCCCGUUACUCAUGCAGCUUGGCCCUGGCUGAAUGCAUGAACAAUGUCUUCCAGGCACUCCCUGUUUUCACUUCCCGCUGCCCACAAUGCCCCUCCUCUGUCUGACCCUUGGGGUCAACAUGCUUUCUAGCUGAUCCACCCGGCUUCCUCCCUCAGACCGGGCGGGAGGCUGUUUUUUAACUUCAGGGGUUCUUGGAGAAGAGCUUCCUCUGGCCCUCCACAAUCACAUCAAAUGCACUGGAUUCAGGGUCUUGAGAUUUGAAGAUUUGAAAGCAGAAGGAUCAGUGAGUCCGAACAGCGGGAAGGAGCAUGAAGCAGGACUUGAAAACUCCAUGAGCUAAGGGUUGGGAUGCGCAUGGCAGCACUAGUGACACGGUCUACAUCAACAACGAUACACGGAGUCAUAAAGCAGAAGACUGGUGCCCGGCACGCUCAACCUCGGUUUCCUCAUCACUCAGCAGGAUGUUGGGGUCCCCACAGCUAAUGUGGGGCAGACGUCCAAGCUCUGCACAUUGCAGGGAGCCCUCCACACCAGCUCCAGUGGGCUGUGGUGUUGCUUAUUUGGCCAAUCUCUAUUAAUGGAUAUUAAAGGUGUCUUCACAUGGAAUCAAUCUAGGUUCCCAUCAGUGGGGGAAUGAGUGAAGAAAAUGUGGUACAUACACACCAUCGAAUACUAUGCAGCCAUCCAAAAGAACGAAAUCAUGUCCUUACAGCAACAUGGCUGCAGCUGGAGGCCGUUUUCCUGAGCAAAUGAACGCAGGAGCAGAAAACCAAACAUCACAUGUCCUUACUUAUAAGUGGAAGCUAAACCUUCCGGACACAUGGACAUAAAGAUGGUAACAUAAACCCCGGGGACUUGAAAAUGGGGAAGGGUGGGGAGCAAGGGCUGAAACACUUCCUAAUGGGUACUGUGUUCAUUAUUCAGGUGAUGGGUUCAACAGAACCCUUGUAACAAACCUGCGUAUGCACCCU